rnacentral:tRNA from 1 species
GCCUCAUUAGCUCAGGGGUUAGAGAACUUGUCGAAUAAUCCAGGGGUUCAGAGUUCAAACCUCUGAUGAGGCU